rnacentral:rRNA from 1 species
GUGCACGCUGGCGGUAGGCCUAACACAUGCAAGUCGAACGGCAGCACAGUAAGAGCUUGCUCUUACGGGUGGCGAGUGGCGGACGGGUGAGGAAUACAUCGGAAUCUACUUUUUCGUGGGGGAUAACGUAGGGAAACUUACGCUAAUACCGCAUACGACCUACGGGUGAAAGCAGGGGAUCUUCGGACCUUGCGCGAUUGAAUGAGCCGAUGUCGGAUUAGCUAGUUGGCGGGGUAAAGGCCCACCAAGGCGACGAUCCGUAGCUGGUCUGAGAGGAUGAUCAGCCACACUGGAACUGAGACACGGUCCAGACUCCUACGGGAGGCAGCAGUGGGGAAUAUUGGACAAUGGGCGCAAGCCUGAUCCAGCCACACCGCGUGGGUGAAGAAGGCCUUCGGGUUGUAAAGCCCUUUUGUUGGGAAAGAAAAGCAGCAGGUUAAUACCCCGCUGUUCUGACGGUACCCAAAGAAUAAGCACCGGCUAACUUCGUG